UUUUUAAUACAAAAUACACCCAGAAAGGAAAGUCACAAUGUCACACAACAUAAACUUCUUUUAGAAACUUCUCACAUUAUCUUUAUUUUUCAUUACUCUUUCAAUGUAAUUCUUUUUGUGUGGCAUCCAACACAGCAAAGGAAGAAACUGAAGUACUAAAGCAUGAUAAGAUACUCAGUACACAACAGUGCUUCCUAGGUUCCUCUUUAUACUAUGGGGGACCUGAUGAGCUUUAUGAAAUUCCAGAAAAUGGCCAAGAAAAACAAAAUGAGACUAAAAUGGCAGUAAAAAAAUUGAUAGAGACAAUCGACCCAUUUCAUCUUGAAUGUUCCAGAAGGGGAAACUGUUGGGAAGGUUCUCUUUACUAUUAAGUUCAGAAUUCCCUCAAACUCCAGGAUUUUAUAACAUUUGAGGUGACAGAUUUUCAUGGUGAGAUGCUUAAUGUAUUAGUGACCUUAACAAUAUAAAAUUGGUAAAUAAUAGUCUUCUUUAAAUGGGAAAAUUGUAAACUGAAUAGUAGCUCUAUUAAUUAAGCUGGAAGUAACACCUAAUUAUUUAUAUAUUAGGUUACCAGUGUUUGUGUGGAUACUAUUGUUGGAGUAGAGAAUGUAUUGUAUGAGUUGAACUCAUUUGUACUCUAUGCCUGAAAAUUUCUCCUCAUGUUCCUGAAUCAUGCCAUAUUACAGAAAGGACAGGCAUUAUAUAAUGCAAGUGAAGUUUGUAAAUAAUAUAACAUUUAGGGGCCCAGAUGUAUUACCAUAAUAAGUAAUGAUUUCAGUUGAAGUUAACUAUUCUAGUUAACUAUUCAAUAAAAUAGUUAAAGAAUUGGAAAAAAUAAA